AGGAUCUUUUUUUUUAUUUAUUUAUUUAUUUAUUUAUUUAUUUGUAUGAUUUAGGUACCUCGGUCUCUGGAAGCAUCGUUUUGGGAGGGAGCGACACUGGUACCUCCAGGACCGCCCAGCCGGGCGCUUAGGUAUACGUGGAAUUUCCUCCUGCAUUGCUGAAUUUCCUUUUGUGCAGACUUUCUCCUUGGAGUUGAAGCCCUUUUGUUAUUUCAAGUAACGAACAAAUCGACACAACUUUGUACCUACUUAAAACUUUGAAGAUUAUAAUUAGCACAUAUAUGGGAAAAGAUCUAAGACAUACACGCUCUUUAGAAGAAAGACAGAUGCCUGUAUUGCUUGAUUAAAACCUUACUGUCUGCUACACCAGUUACACUGAUUAGAAUUUACUCCUUCAUUAACAGUGUCUUAAAAAAAUAAUUAUAUUUAUGUUGAGAUACUUAUGGCCUGUUAUACCUCUUAUUUCCUCAGUAAUAUUUAGUAACUGUUCCCUUCAUAUCCUGCCCAUAUUCAAGGGCCUGGUGGAAAGCAGGUAUAACAAUUAGGUGCUGCUGCUAUAUGCUUAUUGCUUUUUAUAUUUCAGAUGUAAAAACAUGAGAAGUAGAACAUGAGUCUCUUGAGAUAGGUUGAGGCCUCUUGAUGAAUGGUGAAUUCAACAAAAGCUUUAAAACCAGCCUCCUCACUAUGAUAUUUACUACUCAACACCCACACAAAACUGGGAUCCUUCCCCCAGGUGCAGGGGCGUGAAUAGAGGGGAGAGGUUCCCUUGGAAUGAAAAAAUGAUAUUAGAGGAUACUGAGAUUGUAUCAUGACAGACAUGAUGCAAGAAGCCAAACAGAUUAAACAGAAGAACAAAACAAAUAAUUCUAAUUCCAGUGAAUCAUCAGAGCUUUGGAUUUGUUUUAUGUAAGUGGUUGGUUUCAAAUGAUAACUACAGAUGGGGUAAUGGAAGACUAAUGGAAGACUCUGGUUGGUAGUCCUUUCCUUAGAACAGUGGUACAAAGAUAACAUCCUUUAACAGAGGAAGUUUUUGUUAUCCCAUUAUCUUAUUUCUCAAUUAAAUACUUGUCACACUAGAAUCCAUGCUCUGACAUUACUAUUUCCUUCUCUUUUGUACCUGACCAUUUUGAUUCUUAAUUCGCUUGUGUGUAAAUAUAUGUGUAUUUAGAAAGGCAUGCUGAUGUAAGUACAAUGAAGAGAAAAAAAAAACACAUCUAAGAAUGUUAUAUAUUUUCAUGCUUGCAGAUUACCAGGGAUGCAUAAAAUACACGUUUUGUAUUACCUGAUUUAAAAGCCUAAACUUGCAAUAACAAAAUAACAAAUCACAUGCCUGAAGUCCUGUCCUCUGAAGUGAAGCCUGAAGUGAAAUUAAUAUUAUGCUUUCCUCUAUAUUUUGCUGUACAUUGGAUUCAUUUGGUUAUACAGAUGCUUUGAUAGCUUUUAAGAAAUAUUUUGAAAUAUGUGCAUCCACUGUACUAAAGAUAAUAACAACACAUUAACUUUCAAUAGUUGUAUCUUUCUAACAAAGUAGAAAAUAAAGUUUAAUUAAAAAAAUGUGA